rnacentral:misc_RNA from 1 species
GAUGAAGAACGCAGCGAAAUGCGAUACUUGGUGUGAAUUGCAGAAUCCCGUGAACCAUCGAGUCUUUGAACGCAAGUUGCGCCCGAAGCCACUAGGCCGAGGGCACGCCUGCCUGGGCGUCACACGCCGUUGCCCCCCCAUCUACUCCUUCGGGAUUGCGGGGGGGCGGAUGAUGGCCUCCCGUGCGCCUAGCCGCGCGGUUGGCAUAAAUACCAAGUCCUCGGCGACGCACGCCACGACAAUCGGUGGUUGCGAAACCUCGGUUGCCCGUCGUGUGCGUUCGUCGCGCAUCGAGGGCUCGAAAAAAUGCUCGGCUCCGGCUGGGCUUCAACGCGACCCCAGGUCAGGCGGGGUUACCCGCUGAAUUUAAGCAUAUCAAUAAGCGGAGGA